UCUCCCGCUAAGGAAAAGAAAAUCAAGGAGGCCUGCAACUUCGUAUGCAGUCCGCCACUGCAAAUCAGUCUGGAAACUGGAAAAUUCAAAGGUCAUAUUUUUCACUUUCUGGAUGUGCAAAGUUUGGAUAGUACACAUCACCGGGCCAAACCUUUCUCAGGAAUGUCAUUCUAAAAGGAUAUUGGCAGGAGGGGGUGGAAUGUCAUUCUAAAAUAUAUGUA